rnacentral:misc_RNA from 1 species
UACGGAGGAUGCAAGCGUUAUCCGGAUUCAUUGGGUUUAAAGGGUGCGUAGGCGGAAAGGUAAGUCAGUGGUGAAAGCUCACAGCUCAACUGUGAAAUUGCCUUUGAUACUGCUUUUCUUGAGUAUAGUUGACGUGGACGGAAUGUGACAUGUAGCGGUGAAAUGCGUAGAGAUGUCACAGAACACCGAUAGCGAAGGCAGUUCACGAAGCUAUUACUGACGCUGAGGCACGAAAGCGUGGGGAGCGAACAGG